AGGGAUAGGGUCGGUUCGGCCGGAUUUCACACAGGUGUUGCAUGGCUGUCGUCAGCUCGUGUCGUGAGAUGUUGGGUUAAGUCCCGCAACGAGCGCAACCCUCAUCCUUAGUUACCAUCAGGUAAUGCUGGGGACUUUAAGGAAACUGCCAGUGAUAAACUGGAGGAAGGUGGGGAUGAUGUCAAGUCAUCAUGGCCCUUAUGGAGUGGGCUACACACGUGCUACAAUGGUGGCUACAAUGGGCUGCAAAGUCGCGAGGCUAAGCUAAUCCCUUAAAAGCCAUCUCAGUUCGGAUUGUACUCUGCAACUCGAGUACAUGAAGUUGGAAUCGCUAGUAAUCGUGGAUCAGCAUGCCACGGUGAAUAAGUUCUCGGGUCUUGUACACACUGCCCGUCACGCCGUGGGAAUUGGU
rnacentral:rRNA from 1 species